rnacentral:rRNA from 1 species
GUAGGGAAUAUUGCACAAUGGAGGAAACUCUGAUGCAGCGACGCCGCGUGAGUGAUGAAGGCCUUCGGGUCGUAAAGCUCUGUCGCAGGGGAAUAACACAAUGAAGGUACCCUGUAAGAAAGGAUCGGCUAACUUCGUGCCAGCAGCCGCGGUAAGACGAGGGAUCCUAGCGUUGUUCGGAAUCAUUGGGCGUAAAGCGGAUGUAGGUGGCUAUGUAAGUCAGAUGUGAAAGCCUGGGGCUCAACCCCAGAAGUGCAUUUGAUACUGCGUAGCUUGAGUGUCGGAGAGGUUACUAGAAUUGUUGGUGUAGUGGUGAAAUACGUAGAUAUCAACAGGAAUACCGAUGGCGAAGGCAGCCAUCUGGCCUAAUACUGACACUGAGGUGCGAAAGCAUGGGGAGCAAACAGGAUUAGAAACCCGUGUAGUCC